CUGAAACCAAGGUUCAACAGACACUGAUUACACUGAAUGCUACUAUGCAGUUACAGUGGUACCCCACCGUGAGGAUUUUGCGAAGGGCUUGCACUGGUUGUCUAUGUUUAAGAAAACCUACUUGAUGUUCGUGACCUUUCCCGAUGGGGUUGGAAUGGGACACACUUAGAUGUGCGAUUUUGGAUACGUUGGAUAUGGAGAAUAAUUACACAAACGACCCUGAUCGAUCCACUGUCUAUGAGCGUUAUGUGACUCCUUGCCUGAUGAUACGGCUAUUUGGGAGAGGGGAUGUCUCUGCAGUUCAUGUGGAUAAACAUAGGAGUGCGCCUGAUAGACUGUGGAUGUCAACCGAUAGAUCUACUACUGCAUUUAAUGUGGAGACUACGCUCACACAGACUCAGAGGGGUGAAUGAACUGGAUAUCCUAUUGCAUGUUAGCAUGCGUUUGACGCACUAACAGUGCGCGUAAUGACUCUGUGUGUGGGUCGACCAAAGGGCGCACGGGGUAAGAUAUUCUGACACUGGGUGAUCGAGCUAAUUACGGGCCCACUGGGACCGCAGGAUCGGAGAGAUUGUUUGCACUUAGCGGUAUUAAGCAGGGUAAAUAUGAGGCUGACACGGUAAGGGCUCGUCACAUGGGCACAGCGGUUGUCACUAUACAAUAGCGGUAAGCUUGUUUUGACUCAGUUGUUUAAGCUGACCAUUAGCUUUUUAAUGAUGUGCACUUUAACUGUGGUUUAUUAAUAAUUUAUAACAUUAUCCACGAUGGGCACUACAGAUCAUCAGUGUGCUGACACUUGUCUUCAUCACAACAAUGUAUCGGAUGGUCACUUUCGGAGACAUUGAAGCGAUUCGCAUUUUGAUACUUUUUUUACCAUACAGUGUGGAUUUCACUAACCUAAAUGAUAUAUUAUUUGUUGAUUGAAAUUUUAUGGAGUUUUAAGGUGGGGGUAGCAGUUUGUCAGUAUAAUCACAUGCAUAUACGUCAGAGUGGGAGGGUUUGGGAUAUUUUCGCGCCAUUGGUGGGGUAUUUAUAGGUAAAUGUUUUAACAUUGUGUUACUUUGACAAAGGCUGGUGUGGCAGCCGAAACGUUAGUGUGUCUUAAUAAAUUCAUCACUUUAUUAUAAGUCCUGAGUCGUGCGGCUUCUUUGGAGGAGGAUUGUAUGCAGCGCUGCGAGGCAUGCACCCAGGCCGAGUGAACAUUUGUCGUGAGUGCUGGGA